rnacentral:tRNA from 1 species
GCGGGGGUUCCCUAGCUAGGUUAAAGGGGGAGGACUCAAGAUCCUCUGGCGUAGGCCUUCGUGGGUUCAAAUCCCACCCCCCGCA